rnacentral:rRNA from 1 species
AAGAGCUCAAAUUUGAAAUCUGGUAGCCUUCGGUUGCCCGAGUUGUAAUCUAGAGAAGUGUUUUCCGCGUUGGCCCAUGUACAAGUCCCUUGGAACAGGGCGUCAUAGAGGGUGAGAAUCCCGUCCUUGACAUGGACCCCCAAUGCUUUGUGAUACACUUUCAACGAGUCGAGUUGUUUGGGAAUGCAGCUCAAAAUGGGUGGUGAAUUCCAUCUAAAGCUAAAUAUUGGCGAGAGACCGAUAGCGAACAAGUACCGUGAGGGAAAGAUGAAAAGCACUUUGGAAAGAGAGUUAAACAGUACGUGAAAUUGUUGAAAGGGAAACGAUUGAAGUCAGUCAUGCUCUUUGGAUUAAGCCGUUCUGCGGUGUAUUUCAUUGAGCGGGGUCAACAUCAGUUUUGAUCGCUGGAAAAGGGCAGGAGGAAGGUAGCACUCUCGGGUGAACUUAUAGCCUCUUGUCGUAUACAGUGAUUGGGACUGAGGAACGCAGCAUGCCUUUUGGCCGGGAUUCGUCCACGUACAUGCUUAGGAUGUUGACAUAAUGGCUUUAAACGACCCGUCUUGAAACACGGACC